AUGGAAAAUAGAAAUACUUUUUCUUGGGUAAAGGAACAGAUAACUCGAUCGAUUUCUGUAGCGAUCAUGAUAUACGUAAUAACUCGGACAUCUAUUUCAAAUGCAUAUCCCAUUUUUGCGCAGCAGGGUUAUGAAAACCCACGAGAAGCAACUGGACGAAUUGUAUGUGCCAAUUGCCAUUUAGCUAGCAAGCCCGUCGAUAUUGAAGUUCCCCAAGCUGUGCUUCCCGAUACUGUAUUUGAAGCAGUUCUUCGAAUUCCUUAUGAUAUGCAAUUGAAACAAGUUCUUGCUAAUGGAAAAAAGGGAGGGUUGAAUGUAGGUGCUGUUCUUAUUUUGCCCGAGGGAUUCGAAUUAGCGCCGCCCGAUCGUAUUUCCCCUGAGUUAAAAGAAAAGAUAGGAAAUCUUGCUUUUCAGAGUUAUCGUCCCGAUAAAAAAGACAUUCUUGUGAUAGGCCCUGUUCCCGGUAAGAAAUAUAGUGAAAUUGACUUUCCCAUUCUUUCCCCUGAUCCUGCUACGAAGAAAGAUGCUCAUUUCUUAAAAUAUCCCAUAUAUGUAGGGGGAAACCGAGGAAGAGGACAGAUCUAUCCUGAUGGU
rnacentral:rRNA from 1 species